rfam:Callithrix jacchus chromosome X, whole genome shotgun sequence
GUGUGUGGUGCUCUACUCCAGAGAGUAGCAAUCAUGUAUAAUUAAGGGUGAUUGAAACCUCUGAGAGUAGAGUAACGCAAGA